UUCGCUUUUUUAAAUUUUUCCAAAGCAAUGCACUAGAAUUAGGAAACUCUCCUCACUAUCCAUUGUGAAUUUGGCACUUUACUUCAUAAUUACCAUCCACUGGUAUAUAUAAAGACUCCACGUAUUCAUAAUCCGCUAUAAAUUACAGCGGAUUACGCUAGUCCUAUUCCUUCAUAAACCGCAAGACCCUCUAGCGAUUUAUGCACUUCCAUUUUCUUUAUAAUCUGUGAGACCCUCCAGUGUAUUAUGCAUGUGCAUUCUUAAACAUAAUCUGCGAUACCCUGUAGCGAGUUACGUGUUGCGGUUGCCUGUAACGAUUUGCGUAGAGUUAAUUCAUGACAAUGAUG
rnacentral:lncRNA from 1 species